UGGAUGCACUCCAUCCCUAUAUUAGGGUAGAGGCAGUGAAGAAUCAAAUGUGAAAACGCUUUGAAGAAUACUAUAAAGUUCAUUUCAGGUUAUAACUAUUACUGUCAUUACUGACAUUAUUAUCUAUCAAUCCUCUAGGCUUUUUAACAAAUGAAGCGAACAAUGAAAAGGCACAUGUGAGCUGAAGAAAAAGCAGAUAAAACGGGAGAAGGCAUCCUCCCACAGAUGCGUGGGACUUACGUCCUGCAGCUGGGCGCUGGAGACCGCGCAAGAGGACAACUGAAAAGACUGGAUCAUGGCCUGAGCAACACCCUGCGGGUCAGAGUACAGUGCACCUCCCAGGACAUCAUUCUCUGGCUGUUACAAGCUUUGGUGAUGCAGCAUUUCUUAAGAGUGUUUCUCUACUACUGUCACCAAAAUUUUCUUUGAAACCACAGACUCCCAUUUUGCAAUUACAAUACUGAUAACUUUCUUGAUCUUAACACAGGUGCCAAAAGAUUUUUAGAUAACAACCAGUACUCACAUUCUUUCUUUGAAAGGUACUUUAAUAGCUGACUGAUUGAAACAUCAAGGGCUACAACUACAUGACAACUAAGUUCACAACGCACAGGCAACAACAGAUCACAACUGCCACUUGACCAACAAAAGUAUGAAGGCAUCUAUGGAUAGAAGACACAUCCCUUUCAGAGAUGUCAAAAAGUAAAAAGUCUGUCAUAACUAGUGAAAUCAAGUUUGUCUCUCACAGAAAAGCCUACAGUUGAGCCAAAAAUAAUUAGAACUCAUCCUCUUCUGAGUCAGAGGAAACAAGCCAGUAAGAGAUAAGCCAUUCUCUCACCAUUUUAAUGUAACACUUUUGGAGGAAAAGGCCAGAGGAGCUGUCCUUGAACAGAAACACUAUAAAAUAUGAGCCCUGGUAGGAGACCAUGUGGGGUUAAAAGUCAUCCUGCUUUUGCAUGCUUCUACUGAUGUCCUUCAAGAUUUUAAACAUGUGUCUUAUAAAUGGAAUGGAAAAAAUAAUUAACACUAGAUAAUCUUUGAAGUUCUUUGUAAGAAAUAAAUUUUUUUAAGUUUUAAGUAA